ACUAUGGGGCAGUUAUGAGGCUCUAUGGGGCAGUUAUGGCGCCCUAUGGGGUCUUUGGGGCAGUUAUGGGGCUCUGUGGGGCAGUUAUGGGGCCCUAUGGGGCAGUUAUGGGGCCCUAGGGGGCAGUUAUGGGGUUCUAUGGGGCAGUUAUGGGUCACUUAUGGGUCACUUAUGGGGCACUUAUGGGUCGCUAUGGGGCACUUAUGGGUCGCUAUGGGGCAGCCAUGGGGCACUUAUGGGUCACUUAUGGGGCACUUAUGGGGCACUUAUGGGGUCACUAUGGGGCACUUAUGGGUUACUUAUGGGUCCCUUAUGGGUCGCCAUGGGGCAGUUAUGGGGCAGCUAUGGGUCAGUUAUGGGUCGCUGUGGGGCAGCCAUGGGGCAGUUGUGGGUCGCUAUGGGGCAGCCAUGGGUCACUUAUGGGGCACUUAUGGGUCACUUAUGGGUCGCUAUGGGUCACUUAUGGGGCACUUGUGGGUCGCUAUGGGGCAGCCAUGGGGCACUUGUGGGUCACUUAUGGGGCACUUAUGGGUCGCUAUGGGGCAGCCAUGGGGCAGCCAUGGGGCACUUAUGGGUUGCUAUGGGGCAGCCAUGGGGCAGUUGUGGGUCACUUAUGGGUCGCUAUGGGGCAGCCAUGGGGCACUUAUGGGUCACUUAUGGGUCGCUGUGGGGCAGCCAUGGGGCAGCCAUGGGGCAGCCAUGGGGCACUUAUGGGUCACUUAUGGGUCACUUAUGGGGCACUUAUGGGGCACUUAUGGGGCACUUAUGGGUCACUAUGGGGCA